ACGGGUGAGUAAUGCCUAGGAAUCUGCCUGGUAGUGGGGGACAACGUUUCGAAAGGAACGCUAAUACCGCAUACGUCCUACGGGAGAAAGCAGGGGACCUUCGGGCCUUGCGCUAUCAGAUGAGCCUAGGUCGGAUUAGCUAGUUGGUGAGGUAAUGGCUCACCAAGGCGACGAUCCGUAACAGGUCUGAGAGGAUGAUCAGUCACACUGGAACUGAGACACGGUCCAGACUCCUACGGGAGGCAGCAGUGGGGAAUAUUGGACAAUGGGCGAAAGCCUGAUCCAGCCAUGCCGCGUGUGUGAAGAAGGUCUUCGGAUUGUAAAGCACUUUAAGUUGGGAGGAAGGGUUGUAGAUUAAUACUCUGCAAUUUUGACGUUACCGACAGAAUAAGCACCGGCUAACUCUGUGCCAGCAGCCGCGGUAAUACAGAGGGUGCAAGCGUUAAUCGGAAUUACUGGGCGUAAAGCGCGCGUAGGUGGUUCGUUAAGUUGGAUGUGAAAUCCCCGGGCUCAACCUGGGAACUGCAUUCAAAACUGUCGAGCUAGAGUAUGGUAGAGGGUGGUGGAAUUUCCUGUGUAGCGGU
rnacentral:rRNA from 1 species